AACCUGGUUGAUCCUGCCAGUAGUCAUAUGCUUGUCUCAAAGAUUAAGCCAUGCAUGUCUAAGUGUAAAUAAGUCUAUACUGUGAAACUGCGAAUGGCUCAUUAAAUCAGUUAUCGUUUAUUUGAUGAUCUCUUAUUACUUGGAUAACCGUAGUAAUUCUAGAGCUAAUACAUGCACACAAUCCCGACUUCUGGAAGGGAUGUAUUUAUUAGAUACAAAACCAAUGCGCUUCGGCGGUGAUUGGUGAU
rnacentral:rRNA from 1 species